AUGAGGAACCCUGCUCAGCUCCUGGGGCUCCUGCUGCUCCAGCACCAAGGUGCCAUGUGUGACAUCCAGAUGACUCAGUCUUCAUCCUCCUUGUCUGCAUCUAUCCGAAUUCUGGAUCAAGUGAAUAUUCGUGACCCUGGGAACAACACCUGCAAUAGUAGAGUCACCAAGGUGCCACCAGCCUGCAGCUGGGCCAAACCCUUUCCAGCUCUGCUAAUUUGCAUAUCCCAGGAGACCAGCCAGCUACUUCAGGACUUCUUCAUAGGCUUGUGGUCUCACCCUGUGAAGCUCCAGUCCCACUCAGGACACACCAUUGACAUGGGGGUCCUCACUCACUUUCUGGGCCUCUUGGUGCUCUCGAUAUCAGGUGCCAGAUGUGACAUCCAGUUGACACAGCCUCCAUCUGCAUCUGCUUCUGUGGGAGACACAGUCAAGAUCAGUUGCCGGGCCAGUCAGAGUGUUGGUAGUUACUUAAACUGGUAUCAGCAGAAACCAGGGCAAGCUCCUAAACCCCUGAUCUAUCAUGCCACCAAUUUGCAGUCUGGGGUCCCAUCAAGGUUCAGUGGCAGUGGAUCUGGGACAGAUUUCACUCUCAGCAUUAGCGGCCUGCAGCCUGAGGACUUUGCAACAUACUACUGUCAGCAGCAUAACAGUUUGCCUCCCACAGUGAUACAAGCCAUGACAUAAACCUUCCAGAGAAGC